rnacentral:rRNA from 1 species
ACGCUCGACACCUACGGAGGCAGCAGUGGGGAAUAUUGCACAAUGGGGGAAACCCUGAUGCAGCGACGCCGCGUGAAGGAAGAAGUAUUUCGGUAUGUAAACUUCUAUCAGCAGGGAAGAAGAUGACGGUACCUGACUAAGAAGCCCCGGCUAACUACGUCNCNNNCGCGAGUAUNGNGGCGNGNGAGACG